rnacentral:rRNA from 1 species
CAACCCGAUGCAAACUGCGAAUACCGGAGAAUGUUAUCACGGGAGACACACGGCGGGUGCUAACGUCCGUCGUGAAGAGGGAAACAACCCAGACCGCCAGCUAAGGUCCCAAAGUCAUGGUUAAGUGGGAAACGAUGUGGGAAGGCCCAGACAGCCAGGAUGUUGGCUUAGAAGCAGCCAUCAUUUAAAGAAAGCGUAAUAGCUCACUGGUCGAGUCGGCCUGCGCGGAAGAUGUAACGGGGCUAAACCAUGCACCGAAGCUGCGGCAGCGACACUAUGUGUUGUUGGGUAGGGGAGCGUUCUGUAAGCCUGUGAAGGUGUACUGUGAGGUAUGCUGGAGGUAUCAGAAGUGCGAAUGCUGACAUAAGUAACGAUAAAGCGGGUGAAAAGCCCGCUCGCCGGAAGACCAAGGGUUCCUGUCCAACGUUAAUCGGGGCAGGGUGAGUCGACCCCUAAGGCGAGGCCGAAAGGCGUAGUCGAUGGGAAACAGGUUAAUAUUCCUGUACUUGGUGUUACUGCGAAGGGGGGACGGAGAAGGCUAUGUUGGCCGGGCGACGGUUGUCCCGGUUUAAGCGUGUAGGCUGGUUUUCCAGGCAAAUCCGGAAAAUCAAGGCUGAGGCGUGAUGACGAGGCACUACGGUGCUGAAGCAACAAAUGCCCUGCUUCCAGGAAAAGCCUCUAAGCAUCAGGUAACAUCAAAUCGUACCCCAAACCGACAC